ACCUCAUCGUGUCCGCCAUCUUGGGGCGACGGCCAGAAGUCCAGGGCUAGGAGCCUCAGCCGGCGGACGCCAGGAAACAGGCUCCCUCUGCAGUGGAAUUACCCUUAUGUCUUUUCUGUCUAUGCUGAUCCACCUGAUCUUGAACUGGUGCUAUUCCAUGGGGAAAAUUGGAACAUGGGGCAAUUAACACUUUCUCCACUUUAUCCCAUCAACAGGAAAUUGAAAUAUAACCAACUAACUCAGGAGACAUCAUGGAAGAUGUCACACAGUGAAUGAUGAUGAAGCAGAAUUUUUAAAAUGUGUAGGAUUACGAGAAGUGGGGUCAUUUUUCUUUGUGUAUGGUAUUGCUGAUGCAGUUUAAUGCUCCAUUACUUCUAAAUUUUCAUCAUAAGCUAGAUUUUCCAGUUGUGGUUUCUAUAAAGAAAAACAAACAUUCUGAAGACAGUUUUUCCAGAUUUAUUCCAGAUAUCGAUGAUUAACUUUUGAAGCUCCUCUGUUGAUUUGAACAUCCGCUGAAGCUUAUUUUUCACCUCAGAAUAGCAUCAACAUUAUUUGAAAUUCAAUUGUACUUUCUCGUUACAUUAAUAAAUCAUGGAAGUUGAGAAAA
ensembl:lncRNA LINC00879 long intergenic non-protein coding RNA 879